rnacentral:rRNA from 1 species
CGCACGUUGAAAAGUGCGGGGAUGAGGUGUGGGUAGCGGAGAAAUUCCAAUCGAACUUGGAGAUAGCUGGUUCUCUCCGAAAUAGCUUUAGGGCUAGCCUCGAGGUAAAGAGUCAUGGAGGUAGAGCACUGUUUGGACUAGGGGCCCUUCUCGGGUUACCGAAUUCAGAUAAACUCCGAAUGCCAUGUACUUAUACUCGGGAGUCAGACUGCGAGUGAUAAGAUCCGUAGUCGAAAGGGAAACAGCCCAGACCACCAGUUAAGGUCCCCAAAUAUAUGUUAAGUGGAAAAGGAUGUGGGGUUGCUUAGACAACCAGGAUGUUGGCUUAGAAGCAGCCACCAUUGAAAGAGUGCGUAAUAGCUCACUGGUCGAGUGACCCCGCGCCGAAAAUGUACCGGGGCUAAACAUAUUACCGAAACUGUGGAUGAACCUCUUUAGAGGUUCGUGGUAGGAGAGCGU